rnacentral:lncRNA from 1 species
CCACGUGCCAUUUGUUGACUAAGGGCUGACGGGCUGAUUUUUUUUUCUUUUCUUUUUUUUUUUUUUUUUCUUAAAGACCCCACGGAGGAGUUGGAGAAGGGCAGAGCCGGGCGCUGGGCAGUGCUACCGCUUUGUGCCCGUCCGAAGAGGCUCCCCCCUCCUUCCCUCUCUUUUUGCAAGGGACCCCCUUCACUGGCUGCCAGAAAAUCAAGGGGGAAAACACGGAGCCGAAUAUCGCGAUGGACGCACGGCAGCGUUUGGGUGUGACGGGAUCCCCCCUGAAGCAUCAUCCGCCACCAAGUUAACCUGCCCCUGGCCAGACAUCCUUCCAGAAGCGCCGAGGAGAACUUCCAGAGCGGCAAAAGAGAAGAGAAACAAAGUCCAAAAUGAAGUACGAACCUGUGUCCCGUGUGCCCGCCCGCCAGGCAGGGUGGGUGAGUCCCGGCGAGCCGUCCCGCGGAGCAGCCGGUCCCCUCCUAGUUGCCGCCGGCCGAGGCCGAGCGUCCCGCCGCACGCAUCCUGCGGGCGAGAGAAAGAGGCUGCGAUUUGUAAACUCGCACCAAUCGCGGAGGAUCCGAAGGGAUGUUAAAAGCUGGGAUCUAGUCCUUUUUCUGGAGUGAAGUCAGUCGUGUCCGUGGCUUUUGAUUUUUUUUAUACUCCUCUGUCUGUUGUUGUUGUUGUUGUAGGGUUUUAUUUUUCCCUGUUGCACUCCCCCUCUAGCAAAUAAGAGAUGGUUUUAUACUCUUGUCCACAGGGCGUUAAAGGGGGAAAAGAGAAAAACCACUUUGUCCGAAAUUGCAGGCAAAUAUAAUUUUUACAAGCUCUCAAUUAGCCAUCCCUUGGAUUAGCACCUUCUUACGCCUCCUCGCCAGAAUAAAGCAGCCGUAAUCUUGUUGCUAUUUCCCCCU